rnacentral:rRNA from 1 species
AUUGAACGCUGGCGGCAGGCCUAACACAUGCAAGUCGAACGGUAGCACAGAGAGCUUGCUCUCGGGUGACGAGUGGCGGACGGGUGAGUAAUGUCUGGGAAACUGCCCGAUGGAGGGGGAUAACUACUGGAAACGGUAGCUAAUACCGCAUAACGUCGCAAGACCAAAGAGGGGGACCUUCGGGCCUCUUGCCAUCGGAUGUGCCCAGAUGGGAUUAGCUUGUAGGUGAGGUAACGGCUCACCUAGGCGACGAUCCCUAGCUGGUCUGAGAGGAUGACCAGCCACACUGGAACUGAGGCACGGUCCAGACUCCUACGGGAGGCAGCAGUGGGGAAUAUUGCACAAUGGGCGCAAGCCUGAUGCAGCCAUGCCGCGUGUAUGAAGAAGGCCUUCGGGUUGUAAAGCACUUUCAGCGGGGAGGAAGGGAGUGAGGUUAAUAACCUCAUUCAUUGACGUUACCCGCAGAAGAAGCACCGGCUAACUCCGUGCCAGCAGCCGCGGUAAUACGGAGGGUGCGAGCGUUAAUCGGAAUUACUGGGCGUAAAGCGCACGCAGGCGGUCUGUCAAGUCGGAUGUGAAAUCCCCGGGCUCAACCUGGGAACUGCAUUCGAAACUGGCAGGCUGGAGUCUUGUAGAGGGGGGUAGAAUUCCAGGUGUAGCGGUGAAAUGCGUAGAGAUCUGGAGGAAUACCGGUGGCGAAGGCGGCCCCCUGGACAAAGACUGACGCUCAGGUGCGAAAGCGUGGGGAGCAAACAGGAUUAGAUACCCUGGUAGUCCACGCUGUAAACGAUGUCGACUUGGAGGUUGUUCCCUUGAGGAGUGGCUUCCGGAGCUAACGCGUUAAGUCGACCGCCUGGGGAGUACGGCCGCAAGGUUAAAACUCAAAUGAAUUGACGGGGGCCCGCACAAGCGGUGGAGCAUGUGGUUUAAUUCGAUGCAACGCGAAGAAUCUUACCUACUCUUGACAUCCAGAGAACUUGGCAGAGAUGCUUUGGUGCCUUCGGGAACUCUGAGACAGGUGCUGCAUGGCUGUCGUCAGCUCGUGUUGUGAAAUGUUGGGUUAAGUCCCGCAACGAGCGCAACCCUUAUCCUUUGUUGCCAGCGAUUCGGUCGGGAACUCAAAGGAGACUGCCAGUGAUAAACUGGAGGAAGGUGGGGAUGGCGUCAAGUCAUCAUGGCCCUUACGAGUAGGGCUACACACGUGCUACAAUGGCAUAUACAAAGAGAAGCGACCUCGCGAGAGCAAGCGGACCUCAUAAAGUAUGUCGUAGUCCGGAUUGGAGUCUGCAACUCGACUCCAUGAAGUCGGAAUCGCUAGUAAUCGUGGAUCAGAAUGCCACGGUGAAUACGUUCCCGGGCCU